CACGCCGUAAACGAUGAUUACUGGGUGUAGGGGGUAUCGACUCCCUCUGUGCCGAAGCAAACGCGAUAAGUAAUCCACCUGGGGAGUACGGCCGCAAGGCUAAAACUCAAAGGAAUUGACGGGGGCCCGCACAAGCAGUGGAGUAUGUGGUUUAAUUCGAGGCAACGCGAAGAACCUUACCAGGGUUUGACAUCCCGCGCCAGAGGCAGAGAUGCUUUGUUCCUUUCGGGGACGCGGAGACAGGUGG
rnacentral:rRNA from 2 species